rnacentral:rRNA from 1 species
GGCGAGAGACCGAUAGCGAACAAGUACCGUGAGGGAAAGAUGAAAAGAACUUUGAAAAGAGAGUUAAACAGUACGUGAAAUUGUUGAAAGGGAAACGAUUGAAGCCAGUCGUACCGGCGGGUAAUCAGCCUUUCGGGUAUGAUUCUGUGGAGCGUGAGGAGUUAAACGCCUUCAUGCCCGCAUAUUCGUGCUCUUGGGUGUACUUGCUCGUGUGGUUGGUUAACAUCAAUUUCGGUUAUCAUAAAAUGGCUGGAGGAAUGUAGCUUCGAUUUCGAUCGAAGUGUUAUAGCCUUUGGCAGAUGUGAUGAUCGGGAUUGAGGAUUGCAACGGAUACCCUUCGGGGCUACUUGUCUGAUCUCUGAUCGUUGCUCUGGUGCCGAAAGCUUGCUUACGGUUAUCAAAGUCGAUGGUCAACAGGUUAGAACGGGUUAAA